rnacentral:rRNA from 1 species
UACGUAGGGGGCAAGCGUUGUCCGGAUUUACUGGGCGUAAAGAGCGUGUAGGCGGCCACGCAGGUCCGUUGUGAAAACUGGAGGCUCAACCUCCAGCUGUCGACGGAAACCGUAUGGCUAGAGUCCGGAAGAGGAGAGUGGAAUUCCUGGUGUAGCGGUGAAAUGCGCAGAUAUCAGGAAGAACACCAGUGGCGAAGGCGGCUCACUGGUCCGGUACUGACGCUGAGGUGCGAAAGCGUGGGGAGCAAACAGG